UUUUAGAAUCUGAGUGAGUUACUGUUUUGAAUAUCUAAAAUCUUCAAAUUAAGUUUUUAUGAUUUUAAGUUAAAUUAGACUUAAGAAUAUGUGUAAGAAUUGAGAAUAAAUAUUUACUUUUUAUUUUAGAAAUGAACACACAAGAAAAUUUAAACGACGAUGAUGGUGACUUUUUUAGAAAAAAAUUAGAAGAUUUACAAAAGUCCAUAGUGACAAAUCCAACUUCCUCAGUAACGUAUGUUGUUGUACUCACUUAUACUUGACUUAAUUUAUGGAUUAAUUGGUUUUAUUGCAUUUUUAAUUUUCUUUUAUUUAUCUCUAGCUGCUGCUUCUUCUGUUACAAGCUCGAAGUCAUGGGAAGAAUUCAGAAAGUAUCGCUCCCAGCAUCCAGGCCCUCUAUCUAUGAGGGCCUUCCAUCGCUGGUGUUUGUAUGGGGACGACCAUCCCUCCUUUAGAUGGAGGGAUGGCACCCCAUACAACACGGGGAAUAGAGCGGAUGCUGGGAGGAGAAGACAACGUGGCGCAAAAGUUGUUAAUAAUUUUUUUACAUAUUAAAAUGUAAAGAAAUUGACAACUUUUGAGCCACUUCAUUUUUUUUUUUGUAAUAUAUUUUUGUAAAUUUAUUUUUGUGUUGUUUUUUAUUUUUCCCAUGAAUGUUAAAUGUUAUCAAAGUAAUUCAUUUAAAUAAAGACACCUUUAUCAACAAUGCUCAUUAACUAGAAAUAGAAGUCACGGUCAUACAUUUGAUAAAGUUAAUGUUAAUCUCAAAGGGAUUUGGUUUUCACACAAUCAAAUUCUAUCUAGCACCUUCCAGAACUAAGAAUAUAAGUGUGUGGUGUCAGUAGUUUAAAAUAUGUAUAAUAAACUCAGAAUAACUCAAUAACCCUCAACAAAACUAUGAACUAAUUUUUAAAUUCAAGUUGAGCUUUUUUAUUUAUUAAUACCUCCCCUCCCAAUAACUCUAAUUUUCCUUAAAAAACUAAUAUUUUCGUCCUUUGGAGGUGGUUCUGCUAUUUAAUUAAUUGUUGUGAUGUUUUAUGCAAAUAGAUUUAGCUCACAUUCAUGUUGGUCUGUCAGGAUUAUGUAAAAA